GCGGGCUGGAGGAAUCAGUGUGUAAGCAGUUGCCGGAAGAUCUGGAGGGAGGAUCUUUCCAGGCUGUGCCAAGGCUCAGGGUGCAGCGGGGCGGCCGCGUGUUCUGCCCUGCGGUGCUUCCACUAAUCGUCAGCAAAAAGCAAGGAGGAGGAUUGGGGGACAGGAAGAAGGAGACUUCUGGAAGGGAAACCACUGGAUGCCAAGGAAUCAGCUGCAGAAAGGGCUGAGCUCAGGGUGGCUGGGAUGGAGAGGACCGGAUGAGAGGCAGCACAGAGAAAGAUGGAAGAGCACCUCACCUGCUCAAGGUAAGCAAGCUCUGUGGUAUGAAGCGAAGGCAGACAUUUUUCUGCUGUCAUCCACUGUGG
rnacentral:lncRNA from 1 species